UACGUAGGGUGCAAGCGUUGUCCGGAAUUAUUGGGCGUAAAGAGCUCGUAGGCGGUCUGUCGCGUCGGAUGUGAAAACCCAGGGCUCAACCCUGGGCCUGCAUUCGAUACGGGCAGACUAGAGUUCGGUAGGGGAGACUGGAAUUCCUGGUGUAGCGGUGAAAUGCGUAGAUAUUGGGAAGAACACCUGAGGCGAAGGCGGGAUGCUGGGCCGACACUGACGCUGAGGCGCGAAAGCCAGGGGAGCAAACGGG
rnacentral:rRNA from 1 species